rnacentral:lncRNA from 1 species
UAAUAUAUCAAUCAAUAAUAUAAUAAGAGGGCUUGGUGGUUGAUACUCGGGACGUGUUUGGUUCGCUUUUUUUUCACCCUGAAAUCGGAAUCGGAAUUGGUGAAUCUGUUUGUGGAUGUUUGGUACGUGAAAGUUUCAUUCCGAUUCUAAUUCCCGAGGGGAAUGGGAAUCUUCCAAUCACCCCUUUUUUCAAUCCGGCCUCCUGAAGUUAAAUCCGAACGGAAUGGAUAUUUAUUCAGAUUAAAUUUAUUUUUUUUAAUUUUUUUAAAUUAAAAUAUGAGUUUAAAAUUUAGAAAUUAAAUUUUAAUUUUUAAUUUUAAUUU